UCUAAAGUUCAUCCUUCUCCUGUCUACACCCACCACCAAGAUCUCCUCUUUGUUGCAGAUACUCCAGAGGUGCCCUGUAAUCCCUGAACCCUGCUGAAUUCACACCCUGGUGAUAUAUAAAUGUUAAAGGGAUGCAACUGGUAAUUCUGCCUGGCUGUUAAACUGCCUUGUGUCAACCUAUUUUUAAUGGCUGCUGUCAAGGGCUGCUGUGAGACCUCUAAAACACUGCAGUGGAGCCCAAGCCCUGAGCCUAUGUGAAGAUUUAGUGAUGCACAAGCCGUGCUCUGGCAGAGAUGGGAAACCAGAGAUGUCCUUGCUUGAGAUUCAGAAGCGGAGCCAAGGAACUGUUCCCAAACUUCUUGUAUUAUUGAUGCCUUGUUUCCUCAUUAAUGCCACAAAGAUUUAUGUGAAGGGACUUCCACGGUGCUAAUGGAAUUACCCACCUAAAUCUCCCCCGCACCAAUGGCAGGGAAUGCUCCAGUUCUCUGCCCUCACGUUAGUGCUGGGCUUUCUUCUCUUUUAUCUACCACCCACUGGUCUCCUCGCUUGAUCCCCUUCUCCCAGCUGGAUGCUCUGAAGUUCGCGCUUGCUUUUGGUGCCUCCAGGCCAUGGGAUAAAAGAAAAGCUUGUUUGCCAUAGCAACUCCAGUGGUGACUCUGCUUCUCAGGCACAAAGCACCUUCCAGCAGAUGCACAUCAGUACAUAAAGAACUUUGGAAAUUGUUGGUGUUUUAGAGCAAAAAGGAUCUGACGUACUAAUAAGAUGCCAAACAGAUAAUAAGGGACCCAACUGUGUAAAGAUGACUGAGUUUCAUCUGCAUGACUUCGGGAGCCAAAGGAAUUGUGUUCUCCACAGCUUAUUACGGUGGCCAAGCUGGGCCUGAAGGCUCUGGAUGGGUGACGGGGCAGGUGGACAGAGCCGCUCGUGACGCAGGGGGUGACGAACCUGACCCCAUGCAAGAGAGAAAUGCACUACAGCUCUGAGCAAUAGUGACAGGAUGAUCCUGGGUGAACAGAAGAUGAAUCCAUGGGAAAAUCUAUUCUUGCCUAAAUUAUUUCUGUGCCACAUCACCUUGAAGUAUUUCAAAACAGAGCAACAUGAAAAGCUCAUCUUGAAGUGUUUGGCUUCUGUACUAUAGACUGAGCUCUCAUCACUAUAGGAUCUGAGCACCUUCCAGCAGCACAUUAAACACCACGACUAACAUCUGCCAUGUUUUGUUUGCUUUUGCAUCGUCGCCUCUGGGGAAAAUGCAUGUGCAGUGGC